rnacentral:rRNA from 1 species
GGGGAAUAUUGGACAAUGGGGGCAACCCUGAUCCAGCCAUGCCGCGUGAAUGAUGAAGGCCUUCGGGUUGUAAAGUUCUUUUGGUAGGGACGAUAAUGACGGUACCUACAGAAUAAGCUCCGGCUAACUUCGUGCCAGCAGCCGCAGUAAUACGAAGGGAGCUAGCGUUGUUCGGGAUUACUGGGCGUAAAGGGUGCGUAGGCGGUUUGAUCAGUCAGAUGUGAAAGCCCUGGGCUUAACCCAGGAACUGCGUUUGAUACUGUCAGGCUCGAAUUCGGGAGAGGUGAGUGGAAUUCCCAGUGUAGAGGUGAAAUUCGUAGAUAUUGGGAAGAACACCGGUGGCGAAGGCGGCUCACUGGACCGACAUUGACGCUGAGGCACGAAAGCGUGGGUAGCAAAC